GACGGAGGGUGCAAGCGUUGUUCGGAUUGACUGGGCGUAAAGGGCGUGUAGGCGGUUGGUCAAGUCUGAUGUGAAAGCCCGGGGCUCAGCCCCGGAAGGGCAUCGGAAACUAGCCAGCUGGAGCGCGAUAGAGGAGGGUGGAAUUCCUGGUGUAGCGGUGAAAUGCGCAGAUAUCAGGAAGAACACCCGUGGCUAAGGCGGCUCUCUAGUACGGUACUGACGCUGAGACGCGAAAGCGUGGGGAGCAAACAGG
rnacentral:rRNA from 1 species